CUGUGUGUAUGCUGGAAACAAAUUCACAGGAAAGCAGGCUUCAUGAGUCCACUGGCUUAUGGAUCCUACCAGAACUCUGCAAAACCUAUUUGCUGAAAAGUACGCCAAGAGAAAUCACUCAUGAGCCUCGCCAGCCUGCACGCCUCCCAAGCUGCUCUCCCUCCUGCUGCCUCUGCUCAUGCCAGGUGACAGCCCAGCUCAGGAAGAAGCUUCAUUCUUCCAACCCUUUCUCAGAAGAACUCCUGCCCACACCAGAGAAAACCUGGUUUCAGACCCUGGUAUCCUCAGGGUGGUUGUUCUCCUGUGAGGAACAGCUGGAUGUGACAACGCAGAUGCUGGAAGCUUCCUGAGUGGUGCAUUCAGCCAUACAAUAUCAAAUGGGACUUUGCCUGAUUAAGAACUUACCAUUUGUCCUCUCACUGAAGGAAAACAACUUACUGUUUCUUGCUUAUGUUACCAUGGGGCAUAAGAUGCCUUGUCUUAAACCAAAGUCUCAUAGGUCUAAGGACAAAAGAAAACAGAGUUCUGCUCCUCAGAGUGAUUAUAGGACAAAAGACAAUAGGCAACUACAGUUGGAUGAAUGAGCACACAGACACAGAGAGGCAACAGUGGUCAGUGUGAUGGGGUGCAACCUAAUCAUUGUCACUGUAGGCAAGAUUGAAAGAAAAACAAUUGGAAAGAGAACAGAGCCAAGAAAGGCAUUUUAUUUGCAGAGGAAUUUGCAUCUCAGCACUUGGUGACAGUCCAGCCAGAACAAAACCCGGAAAUGUUGCAACAUUUGUUGAGAGGGGACAAAGCACCCGUUGGGGAUGCUUUCCUUGCCGGCUGUCCCCACACGGGCCUUGCACAAUCCUCCAGUCACUGCAAACCAGCACAUGCCAGCAACCGCAAAAACACUUCCGUCACAAUUUUUCCAGCCAGCGAAGCCUGAAAGAGGCUGGUGGAACAGCUUAUGUGUAUGUUUACAGGGAACUCCUCCAGGAAUGAGGGGAAGAAAAGGAGAAAACAUGUCCUCUAGGUCUGAAAAUUUAGCAAGCAAUUGCUACUGUAUGGUACCAUAGGUGCACCAAAGGCCCAAUAUCUUCAAAGUGAAUGAGAGAUGAUAAAUGAGAAUUUACUGCAGACUGCUCCUUGUAUUUAAUGCAGGAGGUACAGAAGAAUCAGAAGAAUGUUGCAAACAAAAGGUUGCAACCACAGAAGAAGACUACAAUCACAAAAUGCAAGCUGAAAGAACUUGGACAAGAGAUUUAGCUGUGCGCAUGAAAGCUUAUAUCCCAGCCACUAUGUACAAACUGCUUAUAUGGUCUAGAUGGGGUUUAAGUCAAAGACUUUGACCACAUAAACUGGGAGUAACAAGCAGAAUAGCAAUGCUGUCCACAAGAACUGAGAAAAUCAGCGUUUAUCAGCCUGAGCUUAAAUUGAUGAUUAGCUGUACAUAAAGAAACACAGUUACGACAACUGAAAUUUUAAUUUGGAAGAGAAAGGAAAUCAUCUUUAGAACUGCCAACAUGGAGUGGUCUGUGUGCAGUCAGUAGAUGGAUUUGUACCUGUGCCUGACUAGUGGUUUGAGAGAAUUUACACUGAAAGAGGUGUCAGAAAGGACCAAGCUCAUAAGAAAACUUAAGUCUGAUUGGGUUCUGGCCAGAGAAAAAAAAAAAAAAAAAAAAAGGUUACCUCUGAAUUCAGUCAUCUGCAGGAUAUCUUCGUCCUAGAGCGUUAAAAAUAUCACAGAAGAAUGGCUGGCCACUACCACCAGACUGAAACGGCUGGGACGCUUCCUCUCCUCUGAAACCUCUCUUGAGUGAAAGGAGGCAGAACAAAAACACCCUGACAGACGAUAAAAGGAAGAGUGCUUGGCUACAGUUUCUCCUUAACAUUUACUGCUGCUGUUCACAGUCUUUUCCUCUGAGCUAUCUGUCCUCCUUUUUACAUUUCAGUCCUGGCAAGUGGUAUUAAGAGGCUCCGUAUGCUAACAUAGAUAGUGUUGUGUCAGAUGUGCAGAUAUAUCAGUAAGUCAGUGUCAUAUCUCUGCUAGUGACUGACAGAUGUUUACCUGAGAAAAUGAGGAGGUGAUCACAGUUUAUUUUUUCUUUUUAAUCCUUUUAUUUUGUUAUCAACCAAAUGAGAUGUUCCUUGCAAAGAUAUUGCCUUUGGUCUCACUUGAACCUAUGUGACUUUGGAGGUCAGUAGGAGAGCUGACCCAGAUUUUUAUUCUUGUUGACAGGUCAGCACCUCAUUUGGUUUUUUAAUGACAGUAGUUACCACUGCAAAAAAUACUUCAUGUUGCAUUUUCUUGCCAGUUGGCUUCGUAUGUCUUACACUCUAUGUGAAGACCUAUUAUACUUAAUCAUUUUUAACUCUUUUCUUCAAGCUUAAAUGGCAGUUUCCAUGCCCCUGAAGAGUAAUGGGAUACAAAAGUUAUAACUGCGACUUAAAAAGCAUACUCACAGUCUGUCACAGUAUUUUAAAUUUCUUUGUGCUAGAUACUCUGUUCAGAAUUGUACGUGCUAGACCUCUUAGUGGUUAGGGAAAACAGUGGGGAGUUACUAGUCUGGAGCCAGAGGGUGUCUGAUUUCUGCUGGAAGCUGGAAUAUCCAAAGCAGGAGUUGGAGGAGCCAGAAGUCCUUCAGAAUAACUUUUCUGUUUUGCAAAAUAAACAAAGGAGGAUUCAAAUGAAAGCAACGCUGGGAAGGAUUCCCAUAGGAACACACGGCAUAUACUAGCAGAGUCCUGGGGCUCCUUUCUACUUUGAUUUAUAUCAGCAGCAUAAAUGCUCUUGAUCAUUUACCAGCUGCCAAGUACCAGCAGAAUCUACAGUAAUAAUACAAUUCAGUAAUCCACAACAUGGAUGUUUCUCAGUUACCUUAUAGUUUCCCCAUCUCUGUGCCCUCAUAUAACUGUGCCC
ensembl:lncRNA